rnacentral:rRNA from 1 species
UACGUAGGUGGCAAGCGUUGUCCGGAAUUAUUGGGCGUAAAGGAUGUGUAGGCGGUUUUCUAAGUGGGAUGUGAAAUCCCCGGGCUCAACCCGGGAAUUGCAUUCCAAACUGGGAAACUAGAGUGCAGGAGAGGAAAGUGGAAUUCCCAGUGUAGCGGUGAAAUGCGUAGAGAUUGGGAGGAACACCAGUGGCGAAGGCGACUUUCUGGACUGUAACUGACGCUGAGGCAUGAAAGCGUGGGGAGCAAACAGGAUUAGAUACCCUGGUAGUCCACGCUGUAAACGAUGAGUACUAGGUGUAGGGUCUUCCAGGCUCUGUGCCGCAGUUAACACAAUAAGUACUCCGCCUGGGAAGUACGGUCGCAAGACUAAA